rnacentral:rRNA from 1 species
GAUGAACGCUAGCUACAGGCUUAACACAUGCAAGUCGAGGGGAAACGAUAUUGGAAGCUUGCUUCCGAUAGGCGUCGACCGGCGCACGGGUGAGUAACGCGUAUCCAACCUGCCCACCACUUGGGGAUAACCUUACGAAAGUAAGACUAAUACCCAAUGACGUCCAUAGAAGACAUCUGAAAUGGAUUAAAGAUUUAUCGGUGAUGGAUGGGGAUGCGUCUGAUUAGCUUGUUGGCGGGGUAACGGCCCACCAAGGCGACGAUCAGUAGGGGUUCUGAGAGGAAGGUCCCCCACAUUGGAACUGAGACACGGUCCAAACUCCUACGGGAGGCAGCAGUGAGGAAUAUUGGUCAAUGGGCGAGAGCCUGAACCAGCCAAGUAGCGUGCAGGAUGACGGCCCUAUGGGUUGUAAACUGCUUUUAUAAGGGAAUAAAGUGAGUCUCGUGAGACUUUUUGCAUGUACCUUAUGAAUAAGGACCGGCUAAUUCCGUGCCAGCCGCCGCGGUAA